ensembl:lncRNA
GUCUAAUCCAGGAUCAUGUGUUACAUUUAGUUAUCAUCUUCCUCUAGUCUCAUUUAACCUGAAACAGCUUUAUAUUGGUUAGGGUUCUCUGAGGGACAGAAUCAACAGAAAAUAUAUGUAUAAUGAUGUAAGGGCAUUUAUUAUGUAGGCUUCUAGGAUCAGAGGUAGAGAAUAGGAGGAUCCAAGUAGCUGCUCCCAAGAAAAUGGAAAGAAAAUGGAAGUCACAGAACAACACGAUGAAGGAUGCAGCACCAGUCCAAGGUCAAAGGCCUGAAGCUCACUGGAGAACCAUUGGUACUCCAGCCUUUUAGAGGGGAAGUCUGAGAAGCUCUGAAACUUGAGGUGCCUACAAAGACAACUCAGCUGUUGUUGCCAAGGAACUAACAUGUCUGAGUUCUGGUAUCAGUAUCACUGGCUCCUGCUCAAAUAGCACAAACGAAAGAUGUAAAGUCAUUAGAGAAAAAGAACAGUUUGGUUUGGUGGGUCAUGAGUUACAAUUUGAUAUUGGCCUUACAUUUAAGGGUCUCAUAAGUGGUCCAAUCCCCAAAAAGUCUUUCUCUUUGAUGGAAGAGAAGGAGAGAAAAGUAGGAAGGCAGAGAGGAAAAGGGAACAGAAGCCAACAGGCAUAAAUGACCUAACUGAAAGACAUUUUGGAGGGAGAAGUCACUCAGAAUAAGUCUUUGGAAUUAGACUGAGGUUUGAGCAUUAGUUUUUCCACUAAGUAAAUGACCCUGGAGAAAUACAUUUGAACAGCUCUAUGCUUUCAGUUUCAAAUCUGUAAAAUGGAUGUGUUAUGUAAAGACUUCCUGAAUUUUGCUCUUUUGACUCUUAGUGGGUUUUUUUUCUAAAUAACUCAGAAUUUGUAUUUUACUUCAAUAAUCCAAUGUGAUAGGCAACCCUCUAAACAGUUCGCAUGACCCUCGUUUUCUGGCAUUCACACUCUUGAUUAGUCACUUCAUCUUGAGUGUACUUUGGACCUUAUUUCUAAUAAAUAGACUAUGCCAGAAAUAAUGGGCUGACAUCUCUUAUACUGGGUUAUAAAAUGACUAUGGCUUCUGUGUUUGGUUCAUUCUUUCUUCCCAGAUCACUUGCACUGAGGUAAGCAUUCUGCCAUAUUCUGAGCAACUUUAAGGGAAUACCUACGUUGUGUGGUGAGGAACCGAGGGCCUCAGACCAACAAUGCAGAGAAACUGAAGCCUGCUAACAACCAGGUGCUGCUGAUCUAGAAGUCUUAAUUCCAAAAAGAAAAAUGCUUCCUCCAGGCACAUAACAAUGGGUCCACUGAAUUAAAGGCUGAGACUGUCACCUGACCAUUUUGGGCUCCUAAUGCUAUUGAGUCAACAGUUAGAUUGGACCACAAGAAUGAGUCUCAUGGAUGAUUUGGAUGGUGUAAAUGAAGCAACAGCCAUUGGGUAGCUCACAUACUUGGUUUGCUGCCUCUUCUUGCUGAUGUGAACUGUGGCUAGGACUAGAACUACUCUACCUUCUCCUCAAUCUUCCUGAGCCUCUGUGACUUCUACACCAGGAAACGAGAGUGGAGAGAGAGAGAGAGAGAACUGACACAGGUUUUAGGCUGUCCUCAUUGACUCACUGCCUCCAGUUUGUGCCUGGGAGUUCUAGUUUGUUCUUGCUCUUCCUGUUUUACAUCCUGACCACUUGCCUCAAGAACUUCAAGGUCCAGCAUUAGAUGCAAUCACAAUAGCUUUAUGGAGACUGUUCAGUAAACAACCACAACUGCAUAAGAUUCUCCAAAUAUAGUGUUAGUCAACAUUCCUGUAUGGACUUUAGAAGGUGCCAACUUUGAAUCAGACGGUCUGUAUUCAAAUCCUGGCUCCAUCAGUUCCCAGCAUAUGACACUUAGCAAUCUUCCGGGUUCUGUACGGUGGUGGAAGCAGCAGCCCAUUGAGCCAGAGACCAACACUUCUGGGCAUAUGGAACCCAAGAGCGGAAAGCUUGCUGCGUUUCUCGGAAACUUCAGCUAAGGAAGGGCAGCCUCUGGAAAGUGAAGAAAUGGCACACUCACGGGAUGAGGCGGGAAAUGCCAUAGAGCCGGGGAGUCCAGCACCUGCCUAGGCCACACUGUGUACCGGAAGCAGUUUGCGUCCCCGAAUAAACUUAGAUACAAGUCCAGUAAAAACCAGAGUCCUCAUCAUCACCCAACAAGGGAGGUACUAUUGUCUUUGUUUAAUGGAUGAAGACACUAAACCUGCAAGGGUAAGAGUCUUGCCACAAGUGGGUCACAAAUCUAAGAAGUGGAUCACAUAUCUAAGAAGUGGAUCACAUAUAGAUUGUAAAGGCAGAGACACAGAGGGAGAGCACUAUGUGAUGUUGAAAGCAGAGAUUGGAGUUAUGCAGUUUUGAGACAAAGUGAAAGGGGAGUAAAAAGCAACCAGAGAAAAGAAGCAGAUGGGGAAACCGCUUGUGAGAAUGCCUUGUUCUGCAAAACCUUAUCACAGGGGCAGCAAGGGGAGCUGCCUUCUAUGUGACCUUACCUGAGUAGUUCCCAAAUCCUUGUUCUUGGACAUGGGAGGGCUGGAUGCCCAAAAAUCUCCUGAGGAACAUGAAUUACAAAACCCAAGAAAAACAGAACCCCUGGCUUCACUCUGAUUUGGAGGGAUAAAGUGGGGUGUAGCAGGGUUAGCAAGUCUUAGUCCAAUGGACCAGUGUCUUAGUCUAUUUUGGGCUGCUAUCAUAGAAUACUCGACCCUGGCUAAUUUAUGCAGAACAGAGAUUCGUUUCUUACAGUUCUGCAGACUGGGAAGUUCAAGGGUGAGGAGCCUGCAUCUUCUAAGGAACUUCUCGCUACAUCUUUGGAUGGUAGAAGCAGAAGACAAG